AGAGGAGAGACAGAGAAGAGGAGAGACAGCAGAGAGGUGAGACAACAGGGAUAUCGGAGAAGAGAGACAGCAGAGAGUAAAGACAGAGGAGAAGGAGAGAAAGAGGAGAGAGAGGAGAAGAGGAGAGACGAGAGAGGGAGAGACAGGAGAAAAAAGGAGAGACAGUAGAGAGGAGAGACAGGAGAAAAAAGGAGAGACAGUAGAGAGGAGAGACAGGAGAAGAGGAAAGAGGAGAGACAGAGGAGAAGAGGAGAGACAGCAGAGAGGAGAGACAGCAGAGAGGAGAGACAGAGAAGAGAGACAGAGGAGAG
ensembl:lncRNA